GCGUCGGUAGUGCAGCGGUUCACCACACGCUCCCGGAAAGAGCGGAAUUUGGGUUCGAGUCCCAGCUGACACA